AUGGCGCCGCCGCUGCCGUCUUGCCCCUGAAGACCUGUAAAUCUUGCCUGAAGGUGAUCCUGUGGUCAGAUCCUGAUCACUACCACACGUCGGCAGCGGUGCAUCAGGCGUCCAUAUGGGAUAUGGCCUGGUGGCGGCUUCAAGGGAGGACGCAUGAUCCUCAUCGGCAUCGCACAGGGACACGCCCUCAGAUUCAUCGACAAGAAGCACACUCUGUAGCCUCUCCCAAGGAAGAGUAUCGUCUGGCGGGGACGGCAUGUUCAUCCAGUGAUGAAGUGAACCCCCUCGUAGAAUCCAUGCGUGCGACCGUGGCUAGAGAAAAGUCUACCUAUCUACGUCAUCUUAACCAACAAGAUAAAUGGCAGCUUUGAUAUGAAGAACCUGGCAGCAAAAGAUGGUAAGAUCAUGUGUCAAAGCUUGCUAGAAGUGAAUAACCCUCCGAGUUAUCUCAGUAAUGUUAGUGUCGAUCAAACCAUUGACUCUGAGCGUUGACUGCAUAUAUCUGCAAAACAUACACACGUUUUUAAAGUAUUAUGCCGACACCUAAUAGUACAUUUACACCAAUAUUUUGAGUAUUUACAGUACAUACUCCGCAAGGAUCUCAAAAAUUUGUGUACUAUUUCAUGUACA